rnacentral:rRNA from 1 species
UACGUAGGGGGCUAGCGUUGUUCGGAAUUACUGGGCGUAAAGCGCGCGCAGGCGGCUAUCCAAGUCAGUGGUGAAAGCCCGGAGCUCAACUCCGGAACUGCCAUUGAAACUGUUUAGCUUGAGGACGAGAGAGGUGAGUGGAAUUCCCAGUGUAGAGGUGAAAUUCGUAGAUAUUGGGAAGAACACCGGUGGCGAAGGCGGCUCACUGGCUCGUAUCUGACGCUCAGGCGCGACAGCGUGGGGAUCAAACAGG